AUAAAUACUAUGCUAUUACAAGCAUUCAACUCACAUACAUUCAUAUAUUACAUUCUUAACUCUUUUUAGCUUCCAAAUACAAUCAGAUUUAACAUAAUUAUUACAACUUGGUUCUUUUUCUUUUUCACAUCCCUAAGUAGCCGACUCAGGGUACUGCUAUCUCUGGUCUCAGUGGUAGGGCGCCAUCUACAGAGCUACGCCCUUUUCUCGCGCCGCCGCGCCGCUCGCGUGUGAACCUGAAAAUCCCCAAAACCACAUGGGGUGAGAACUGUAUAAAUAUAGUUCUCAGUGGGUACGUCCACCCAAGGGAAGAGCUCGACCCACCUGGUCCAAAAGAGGCACUACAAACAUGUUAGUCCAACAGAUAUCCACAUAUAUAUUAUCAUAUGAUUUAUGGAACUAACAGUUAUCAUAUUCAUGCCUCUCAACAUGCAACAAUGCAAUAUGUGACUCAUGCAACUUAUGCAAGUAGAUCAAUUGAUUCUACUCUCUAUCACUUGCCAUUGCUGUUCUUUAUCAUUUACCAUUCUCUAUUAUUUAACAUUCUUUAUUCUUGACAUUCUUUAUUCUUUUCUAAGGUUACUUUUACCUUAGCCAACUAUGCUCAUUUGCCACUCUUUCCUAAGGUUACUUUUACCUUAGCCAACUAUGCCACUCGACUCGGUCUUGAGUCAAUCAACCGCGGAAAUGCCGCGCUCCGUCUGG
rnacentral:lncRNA from 1 species